AUGAACGCUGGCGGCGUGCUUAACACAUGCAAGUCGAACGAUGAAGCCCAGCUUGCUGGGUGGAUUAGUGGCGAACGGGUGAGUAACACGUGAGUAACCUGCCCUUGACUCUGGGAUAAGCCUGGGAAACUGGGUCUAAUACUGGAUAUGACUUCUCAUCGCAUGGUGGGGGGUGGAAAGAUUUAUUGGUCUUGGAUGGACUCGCGGCCUAUCAGCUUGUUGGUGAGGUAAUGGCUCACCAAGGCGACGACGGGUAGCCGGCCUGAGAGGGUGACCGGCCACACUGGGACUGGGACACGGCCCAGACUCCUACGGGAGGCAGCAGUGGGGAAUAUUGCACAAUGGGCGCAAGCCUGAUGCAGCGACGCCGCGCGAGGGAUGACGGCCUUCGGGUUGUAAACCUCUUUCAGUAGGGAAGAAGCGAGAGUGACGGUACCUGCAGAAGAAGCGCCGGCUAACUACGUG
rnacentral:rRNA from 1 species